rnacentral:lncRNA from 1 species
GAGGAAUAACUCUUAGAAUAUAAGGUAAAAUUUUCUUUCUAUAACUUAUGAGUGUUAUUGGGCAAUCUAUUUUCUAUCCUUAAGGAUAUCUUCAUCCUAACCAUGUAAAAACACUACAAUAACCUUUUAAUUUAUAUCUUUCUUGCAGCUUUACAUAUUGAUUUUAGAAUUUCGUACUCUAUCUAUACUUAUAGGAGAUAGAGUGUUUGUUCUGGUUUUGUGGUGGUGACAUGGGAUGUGAUUUAUUGAGGAUGAAUUUAGUUGAUUUUAGCUCUAAUAUGAAAGCAACGAAAUGGUUGAGUAAUAGUGCGGUUUUGAUUUCGGAUGUCAUUUUUAUUUAAUUUGAUUUAUUUUUUUUUAGUUUAUUUUAUCUAUUUAUGAAAACUUCAUAUACUUUGUGAUUUAUUCUUCUAUCAUAAUUUUCUUUCUUUAUUCAUAUAUUUAAUUUUUUAUUAAGAAAAAUUUAUAAAAUUC